rnacentral:rRNA from 1 species
CUAAGAAUAUUCCGCAAUGGACGGAAGUCUGACGGAGCGACGCCGCGUGGAUGAAGAAGGCCGAAAGGUUGUAAAGUUCUUUUGCUGGGGAAGAAUAACCGCAGGAGGGAAUGCCUGUGGGAUGACAAGAACCGGCGAAUAAGCCCCGGCCAACUACGUGCCAGCAGCCGCGGUAACACGUAGGGGGCGAGCGUUGUUCGGAAUUACUGGGCGUAAAGGGCAUGUAGGCGGCUUGGAAAGCCUGGCGUGAAAGUCUGCAGCUUAACUGCAGGGGUGCGCUGGGAACUGCUGAGCUUGAGUGACGGAGAGGGAGCUGGAAUUCCUGGUGUAGGGGUGAAAUCUGUAGAUAUCAGGAAGAACACCGAUGGCGAAGGCAAGCUCCUGGCCGAUGACUGACGCUGAGGUGCGAAAGUGUGGGGAUCAAACAGGAUUAGAUACCCUGGUAGUCCACACAGUCAACGAUGUGCACUAGGUGCUGGGGCGGUAGCUUCGGUGCCGGAGCGAACGUGGUAAGUGCACCGCCUGGGGAGUAUGCUCGCAAGGGUGAAACUCAAGGAAUUGAC